rnacentral:rRNA from 1 species
GAUGAACGCUAGCGGGAGGCCUAACACAUGCAAGCCGAGCGGUAUUCUGGAUUUAUUCAGGAGAGAGCGGCGUACGGGUGCGUAACACGUGUGCAACCUACCUUUAUCAGGGGAAUAGCCUUUCGAAAGGAAGAUUAAUACUCCAUAAUAUAUUAAAUGGCAUCAUUUGAUAUUGAAAACUCCGGUGGAUAGAGAUGGGCACGCGCAAGAUUAGAUAGUUGGUGAGGUAACGGCUCACCAAGUCAAUGAUCUUUAGGGGUCCUGAGAGGGAGAUCCCCCACACUGGUACUGAGACACGGACCAGACUCCUACGGGAGGCAGCAGUGAGGAAUAUUGGACAAUGGGUGAGAGCCUGAUCCAGCCAUCCCGCGUGAAGGAUGACGGUCCUAUGGAUUGUAAACUUCUUUUGUACAGGGAUAAACCCAGAUACGUGUAUCUGGCUGAAGGUACUGUACGAAUAAGCACCGGCUAACUCCGUGCCAGCAGCCG